rnacentral:rRNA from 1 species
AGUGAACGCUGGCGGCGUGCUUAACACAUGCAAGUCGAACGAGAACGGGUUAUAGCUUGCUAUAAUUGUCAGCUAAGUGGCGCACGGGUGAGUAAUGUAUAGGUAAUAUGCCUCUUACUAAGGGAUAACAACUGGAAACGUUUGCUAAUACCUUAUACUCCUUACUAACAGAAGUUAAUAAGGGAAAGAUUUAUUGGUAAGAGAUUAGCCUGUAUUGUAUCAGUUAGUUGGUGGGGUAAUGGCUUACCAAGACUAUGACACAUAACUGGUUUGAGAGGAUGAUCAGUCACACUGGAACUGAGACACGGUCCAGACUCCUACGGGAGGCAGCAGUGGGGAAUAUUGCACAAUGGACGAAAGUCUGAUGCAGCAACGCCGCGUGGAGGAUGACACAUUUCGGUGCGUAAACUCCUUCUAUAUGAGAAGAUAAUGACGGUAUUAUAUGAAUAAGCACCGGCUAACUCCGUGCCAGCAGCCGCAGUAA